rnacentral:lncRNA from 1 species
GAUUAAUGUUACACGGCGUUUCUGUUCCCGUGAAUGGCAUUUCGGAGGGGAGUGCUUCGUUCCGAACGAAAAUGAUAUAUAUUUAGUUCUAAUAUUUUAAUUUAAUAUUUUAAUUCAAGUACCAAAGUUAUGUAAACCUACGUUUAAACGUGCAUGUAUUGCUUUUUGCAUAUUUUUUAUUUUUUUAUUUUUUUUUUUAUAUAUAUUAGUUCUAAUAUUUAUUAAUAUUUAUUCAGUACCAAGUAUGUAAACCUACGUUAACGUGCAUGUAUUGCUUUUUUUGCUAUAUUUUUAUUUUUAUUUUUUUUUUUUGUCUUGUGUCAGAGCAUUACUACAUUAUGUAAUGAGUAAAAGAUUACUUAAUGAACAUUUAAAUAAGUAUAAAUAGAAGUUUUUCGUCAUAUUUCACUGUACUUGAACUUGGUAAGUUAUCAAAUGGAAAGCUACCAAGUUACCUAUUUUUGAAAAUAGAAGAUAGAAUUUAGCUUUGGCAUUUGCUGAUGAAAGCUGUGAAUUUCCACAUUCCGGUAAAAUAAGGAAGUCCUCAGGAAGAAAUUAAAAGUUCUGGUGUGAACACAACCCUGCCAAACAUGUUGAGAUUUGUAUGUUUGACUUAUAAAGAGAAUGACUCUAAUAACCUCUUAUUUAGUCUGAGUCAUAAAUCUGUGUUGAUUAGUAUUUUGUUGGUUGUGAGAGGUUUACUCAGAAUCAGGAAUUCUGAUCUUUAGUCUCCCUGAGGCGCAUGGCAGAACCACCAGCACAGUGCUUGAUUCCUCUUGCUCUCAAACAACCUCACACACAGCACUGUUUUUAACAGUUAGGGAAGGAUGGAUGUGACUUUUCGUGAUCACUCAGCUCUUUCUGUUCCCUGUCCUCAUUUUCACUUUCUAAGGCCGAGACCAAGACCAAGACCAAAACUUAAGAGGCUUGAGGCCAGGAAUACCAGAGAAAGGAUUUCACACAUCAAAAAUCUGUUACUGACCAUAGAGUAAGUCACAAAUAUUUAGUGUUAUGAGCAUACUCUGUGGUUAACCUCCCAAAUUCACAUUCCUCUAGAGCAGUGUUUUUUGUUUGUUUGUUUUUUGUUUGUUUUUUUUUUUACUAUGGCUGCUACACCAAGACACAGAGUUGAUUAUAUGUUGAUUAUAUUACAUUUACAUAUGAAAAUAUGUAAUUAUCACAGUCAUGAGGGACUGUAAAAUAAAAGCCAUAAUUAUGAUCACACGAUCUACCAUCAUAGUCUCGUGACAAUUAGUAUUUUGCAAUUUGAUGAAUCGGUUGCAAAUUCCUAUUUAUAUGAAUCAUUUAAAAUCAGUUUUAAAAUGUAUGUUAUUUUUGUCAAGCU